GGAUUAAUUCGAUGCAACGCGAAGAACCUUACCUGGGUUUGACAUACACCGGAAAGCUGCAGAGAUGUAGCCCCUUUUAGUCGGUGUACAGGUGGUGCAUGGCUGUCGUCAGCUCGUGUCGUGAGAUGUUGGGUUAAGUCCCGCAACGAGCGCAACCCUCGUCCUAUGUUGCCAGCACGUCCUUCGGGAUGGUGGGGACUCAUAGGAGACUGCCGGGGUCAACUCGGAGGAAGGUGGGGAUGACGUCAAGUCAUC
rnacentral:rRNA from 1 species